rnacentral:rRNA from 1 species
AGUGAACGCUGGCGGUAGGCCUAACACAUGCAAGUCGAACGGCAGCACAGUAAGAGCUUGCUCUUACGGGUGGCGAGUGGCGGACGGGUGAGGAAUACAUCGGAAUCUACUUUUUCGUGGGGGAUAACGUAGGGAAACUUACGCUAAUACCGCAUACGACCUACGGGUGAAAGCAGGGGAUCUUCGGACCUUGCGCGAUUGAAUGAGCCGAUGUCGUAUUAGCUAGUUGGCGGGGUAAAGGCCCACCAAGGCGACGAUCCGUAGCUGGUCUGAGAGGAUGAUGCGCCCCACUGGAACUGAGACACGGUCCAGACUCCUACGGGAGGCAGAAGUGGGGAAUAUUGGACACUGGGCGGAAGCUUGAUCCAGCCAUACCGCGUGGGUGAAGCAGGCCUUCGGGUUGUAAAGCCCUUUUGUUGUGAAAGAAAAGCAGCAGCUUAAUACCCCGCUGUUCUGACGGUACCCAAAGAAUAAGCACCGGCUAACUUCGUG